rnacentral:rRNA from 1 species
AUUGAACGCUGGCGGCAGGCCUAACACAUGCAAGUCGAGCGAGCGGCGGACGGGUGAGUAAUGUAUGGGGAUCUGCCCGAUGGAGGGGGAUAACUACUGGAAACGGUGGCUAAUACCGCAUACUAUCGGAUGAACCCAUAUGGGAUUAGCUCGUAGGUGGGGUAAAGGCUAACCUAGGCGACGAUCGCUAGCUGGUCUGAGAGGAGGCUCAGCCACACUGGACCUGAGACACGGCCCAGACUCCUACGGGAGGCAGCAGUGGGGAAUAUUGCACAAUGGGCGCAAGCCUGAUGCAGCCAUGCCGCGUGUAUGAAGAAGGCCUUCGGGUUGUAAAGUACUUUCAGCGGGGAGGCGUUACCCGCAGAAGAAGCACCGGCUAACUCCGUGCCAGAAGCCGCGGUAAUUC